UGCCCCGGGUCAGCCGGCUGC
rnacentral:misc_RNA from 1 species